UUGCCAUUCGUUUCGUUGGAGAUGCACGUGACGCGUGGACGAUCGGGGGGUCACGCCCCCCAAAGACAGGUAGCAAGACACGGAUGGGGGGGAGCAAGCUCCUAACCUCCUUAAUGAUCCUUCCGCAGGUUCACCUACGGAAA
rnacentral:misc_RNA from 1 species